rnacentral:lncRNA from 1 species
CUUUGUGUUAGAUGCUUUUGCCCAAUUGAAGGCUGAUGUAAGUGUUCUGAGCACGUAUAAAGUAGGCUAGGCUACACUCUAGGCUUCCUGGAGGCUCAGUAGUAAAGACUCGCCUGCAAUGCAGGAGAUGUGGGUUCAGAUUUGAUCCCUGGGUUGGGAAGAUCCCCUGGAGGAGGGAUAGGGUACCCACUCCAGUUUUCUUGGGCUUGCCUGGUGGCUCAGAUUGUAAAGAAUCUGCCUGCAAUGUGGGAGACCUGGGUUUGAUCCCUGGGAUGGGAAGAUCCUCUGAAGAAGGGAAUGGAUAUCCACUCCAGUAUUCUUGCCUGGGAAAAUCCCAUGGACAGAGGAGCCUGCUGGGCUACAGUCCCCGGGGUUGCCAAGAGUUGGACACGACUGAGCACCCACACAAAGCUAAGCUCUGAUGUUCAGUAGAUUAGGUGUAUUAAAUGCAUUUUUGACUUAUGAUAUUUUCAAAUUACCAUGGGUUUACUGGGCACAACACCACUGUAAAUCAAGGAAGAUCUACGCUACCACUAUCUCUGUUGCUACAGAAGUACUACUAUUACUACUGUCAUUAAAAAUACUACCAUGAAGAUUCUAAAUCCAGCAGUAAUAAUAAUUUUCCUUUAAAAGAUCAUUCUGAGUCCAAAAUGUCUCCAAAGAACAUGUAGCAUCAUGACUUAAUUCCUUCCUAAGGAUGCCCAAGAAAGCUUUCCCCAGGGCAUUCAGUCUUCAAAGUUCACAUCUCACUAGGAGAGAACACAUUCUUCCCAUUUGGCUGGGAGUGACAGGCGAAUGCCUCUCAUUGGGGGCAUUCAUGGCCUCUUGCUCCCUCUCAAAAGUACCCUAGUUGGGAGGCUGCAUUUAUAUGGCCACCCUUCUUUUUUCCACAUUUACUUUGACCUGUGGCUCUAGCCAGAAAAUCCAUCACACAUGUUCACUUGCUCUCACCUUCAAGCUAUUUCCCUUGUCUGGAAUGCUAUUCUCAUCCUAUUGCCAAAGCAUGAACCUUCUCUCCUUCAAAAUCCUACUCAGAACUCACCCUCAAGAUGAAACUUUCUCUGAUAAUCCUGCCCUCCACCCAGUCCAGAAAGCUCUCAGCAAUCAUUUUAUAUUCUUCAGAUGGCUCAGAGGUGAACAAUCUGCCUGCAAUACAGGAGACUUGCAGGACACAUGAGUUCGAUUCCUGGGUCAGGAAGAUUCCCUGCAGAAGGAAACGGCAAUCCACUCCCGUAUUCUUGGCCUGGAGAAUCCCCUGGACCGAGGAGCCUGGAGGGCUACAGUCUAUGAGGUCGCAAAGAAGUCAGACACGACUGAACGACUCAACAACAAAAAAUAUUCUUCAGAGGUAACUUGUCUCUCCCAGGCUGCAGGUCUAUCUUAGAAGGGAAAUCAUAUUUACUUUCAAAACGGAGAUCAGAAAACCAAACAAAGCCUGAGAAAACGUACACCACCACCUUGUAAGUUUGUGCUGAGUGGAGGGAAAAUGAAUCUGAUUCAGAAGGCCUCAUUUUUUUUUUUUUUUGGUGUGAAGUCUAACAGAAAAAAAUGCCACAUGGCCCUUCUCCCCGGGAUUAACUAGAUUGAGGGUUUGUUCAUUUCAGUCCAGGUAACAAAAGGGAAGCUUGGGACGGACAGAAGCUCCUUUCUCAAGGCCGGGGCUGAGAAGUGGGAAUCCUUCACCGUGACCACCUGCUUCCCUCCCUUCAAACCGGCAUUUAAAAGUGCCAAAUAUCUGUGUAUCACUCUGGGCGCGGAGCCCACGGUCUGAACCCAGCGGAGGCGGUGCACCAGAUAACAUCAAAGCCCCAGGCAGGGGCCAGAAAAGGGGGGGUGCAAAAGCAGACGAGGGAACGAAGCGCCUCCCCCUAGCAUUUCCUCUCACGCCCACUUCCAACCUAGGAGGCUUUUGGUUUCUGCUUUUGUUGUUUUUAAAAAUUAAAAGUUAAACCCAGGAAGCUGUGGAUCAGAGUUUUGUUUGGUUGUUUUGUUUUUUUUUGCGUGGCAGUCCGGGUAAGUUUUCUCUCGGUCCUUUUGUCCGGCUGGGGAAGGAGAGCCUGGGCUCCGGGGGGGCGGGAGGUGGGCACGGUUGGCAGAGCGCGCGGGGCAGGUCUCGUCGCCGGGUCGCCCCGAGGAGGAGGAGGAGGAGGAGGAGGGGAUUCGGCCGGUGGACGGGA